rnacentral:rRNA from 1 species
CCUACGGGAGGCAGCAGUGAGGGAUAUUGGUCAAUGGGGGAAACCCUGAACCAGCAAAGCCGCGUGAGGGAAGACGGUCUUCGGAUUGUAAACCUCUGUCCUCUGUGAAGAUAAUGACGGUAGCAGAGGAGGAAGCUCCGGCUUACUACGUACCAGCAGCCGCGGUAAUACGUAGGGAGCAGGCGUUGUCCGGAUUUACGGGGUGUAAAGGGUGCGUAGGCGGGCUUGCAAGUCAGAAGUGAAAUCUGUGGGGUUAACCCAUAAACGGCUUUUGAAACUGUAAGUCUUGAGUGGAGUAGAGGUAGGCGGAAUUCCCGGUGUAGCGGUGAAAUGCGUAGAGAUCGGGAGGAACACCAAUUGCGAAGGCAGCCUACUGGGCUUUAACUGACGCUGAGGCACGAAAGCGUGGGUAGCAAACAGGAUUAGAUACCCUGGUAGUC